rnacentral:rRNA from 1 species
AGAGUUUGAUCCUGGCUCAGGAUGAACGCUAGCGACAGGCUUAACACAUGCAAGUCGAGGGGCAGCACGGUGUAGCAAUACACUGGUGGCGACCGGCGCACGGGUGAGUAACACGUGUGCAACCAACCCCGUACCGGGAGAUAACCCGCGGAAACGUGGACUAACAUCCCAUAAGACUCUAGAGCCGCAUGGCUCUGGAUUUAAAAUUCCGGUGGUACGGGACGGGCACGCGCGACAUUAGGUAGUUGGCGGGGUAACGGCCCACCAAGCCGACGAUGUCUAGGGGUUCUGAGAGGAAGGUCCCCCACACUGGAACUGAGACACGGUCCAGACUCCUACGGGAGGCAGCAGUGAGGAAUAUUGGUCAAUGGGCGAGAGCCUGAACCAGCCAAGUCGCGUGAGGGAAGAAUGGUCUAUGGCCUGUAAACCUCUUUUGUCAGGGAAGAAUAAGGAUGACGAGUCAUUCGAUGCCAGUACUUGACGAAUAAGCAUCGGCUAACUCCGUGCCAGCAGCCGCGGUAAUACGGGGGAUGCGAGCGUUAUCCGGAUUUAUUGGGUUUAAAGGGCGCGUAGGCGGGACGCCAAGUCAGCGGUAAAAGACUGCAGCUAAACUGUAGCACGCCGUUGAAACUGGCGCCCUCGAGACGAGACGAGGGAGGCGGAACAAGUGAAGUAGCGGUGAAAUGCUUAGAUAUCACUUGGAACCCCGAUAGCGAAGGCAGCUUCCCAGGCUCGAUCUGACGCUGAUGCGCGAGAGCGUGGGUAGCGAACAGGAUUAGAUACCCUGGUAGUCCACGCCGUAAACGAUGCUCACUGGAUCUUGGCGAUACACUGCCAGGGUUCAAGCGAAAGUAUUAAGUGAGCCACCUGGGGAGUACGUCGGCAACGAUGAAACUCAAAGGAAUUGACGGGGGCCCGCACAAGCGGAGGAACAUGUGGUUUAAUUCGAUGAUACGCGAGGAACC